rnacentral:rRNA from 1 species
GACGAACGCUGGCGGCGUGCUUAACACAUGCAAGUCGAACGGAAAGGCCCUGCUUUUGUUGGUUUCUCGAGUGGCGAACGGGUGAGUAACACGUGAGUAACCUGCCCUUGACUUUGGGAUAACUUCAGGAAACUGGGGCUCAUACCCGAUAGGAUCUUCUGCUGCACGGUGGUGGUUGGAAAGUUUCGGCGGUUGGGGAUGGACUCGCGGCUUAUCAGCUUGUUUGUCGGGUAGUUGCGUACCAAGGCUUUGACGGGUAGGCGGCCUGAGAGGGUGACCAGCCACAUUGGGACUGAGAUACGGAGCAGUCGCCUAUGGGAGGCAGCAGUGGGGAGUAUGGCACAGUGGGCGGAAGCCUGAUGCAGCGACGCCGCGUGCGGAAUGACGGGCUUCGGGUUGUAAACCGAUUUCGCAUGUAACGAAGCGUGAGUGACGGUAAUGAGUAAAGAAGCACCGGCUAACUACGUG